UUACAGGCUUAACACAUGCAAGUCGAGGGGCAGCAUUUUAGUUUGCUUGCAAACUGAAGAUGGCGACCGGCGCACGGGUGAGUAACACGUAUCCAACCUGCCGAUAACUCCGGGAUAGCCUUUCGAAAGAAAGAUUAAUACCGGAUAGCAUACGAAUAUCGCAUGAUAUUUUUAUUAAAGAAUUUCGGUUAUCGAUGGGGAUGCGUUCCAUUAGUUUGUUGGCGGGGUAACGGCCCACCAAGACUACGAUGGAUAGGGGUUCUGAGAGGAAGGUCCCCCACAUUGGAACUGAGACACGGUCCAAACUCCUACGGGAGGCAGCAGUGAGGAAUAUUGGUCAAUGGGCGCGAGCCUGAACCAGCCAAGUAGCGUGAAGGAUGAAGGCUCUAUGGGUCGUAAACUUCUUUUAUAUGGGAAUAAAGUUUUCCACGUGUGGAAUUUUGUAUGUACCAUAUGAAUAAGGAUCGGCUAACUCCGUGCCAGCAGCCGCGGUAAUACGGAGGAUCCGAGCGUUAUCCGGAUUUAUUGGGUUUAAAGGGAGCGUAGGUGGAUUGUUAAGUCAGUUGUGAAAGUUUGCGGCUCAACCGUAAAAUUGCAGUUGAAACUGGCAGUCUUGAGUACAGUAGAGGUGGGCGGAAUUCGUGGUGUAGCGGUGAAAUGCUUAGAUAUCACGAAGAACUCCGAUUGCGAAGGCAGCUCACUAGACUGUCACUGACACUGAUGCUCGAAAGUGUGGGUAUCAAACAGGAUUAGAUACCCUGGUAGUCCACACAGUAAACGAUGAAUACUCGCUGUUUGCGAUAUACAGUAAGCGGCCAAGCGAAAGCAUUAAGUAUUCCACCUGGGGAGUACGCCGGCAACGGUGAAACUCAAAGGAAUUGACGGGGGCCCGCACAAGCGGAGGAACAUGUGGUUUAAUUCGAUGAUACGCGAGGAACCUUACCCGGGCUUAAAUUGCAACAGAAUAUAUUGGAAACAGUAUAGCCGUAAGGCUGUUGUGAAGGUGCUGCAUGGUUGUCGUCAGCUCGUGCCGUGAGGUGUCGGCUUAAGUGCCAUAACGAGCGCAACCCUUAUCUUUAGUUACUAACAGGUCAUGCUGAGGACUCUAGAGAGACUGCCGUCGUAAGAUGUGAGGAAGGUGGGGAUGACGUCAAAUCAGCACGGCCCUUACGUCCGGGGCUACACACGUGUUACAAUGGGGGGUACAGAAGGCGGCUACCUGGUGACAGGAUGCUAAUCCCAAAAACCUCUCUCAGUUCGGAUCGAAGUCUGCAACCCGACUUCGUGAAGCUGGAUUCGCUAGUAAUCGCGCAUCAGCCAUGGCGCGGUGAAUACGUUCCCGGGCCUUGUACACACCGCCCGUCAAGCCAUGAAAGCCGGGGGUACCUGAAGUACGUAACCGCAAGGAGCGUCCUAGGGUAAAACUGGUAAU
rnacentral:rRNA from 1 species